AGAGUUUGAUCCUGGCUCAGGACGAACGCUGGCGGCGCGCCUAACACAUGCAAGUCGAACGAGAAAGAGGGAGCUUGCUCUCUUGAUCGAGUGGCGAACGGGUGAGUAACGCGUGAGGAACCUGCCUCAAAGAGGGGGACAACAGUUGGAAACGACUGCUAAUACCGCAUAAGCCCACGGCUCGGCAUCGAGCAGAGGGAAAAGGAGCAAUCCGCUUUGAGAUGGCCUCGCGUCCGAUUAGCUAGUUGGUGAGGUAAUGGCCCACCAAGGCGACGAUCGGUAGCCGGACUGAGAGGUUGAACGGCCACAUUGGGACUGAGACACGGCCCAGACUCCUACGGGAGGCAGCAGUGGGGAAUAUUGCACAAUGGGGGAAACCCUGAUGCAGCGACGCCGCGUGGAGGAAGAAGGUCUUCGGAUUGUAAACUCCUGUUGUUGAGGAAGAUAAUGACGGUACUCAACAAGGAAGUGACGGCUAACUACGUGCCAGCAGCCGCGGUAAAACGUAGGUCACAAGCGUUGUCCGGAAUUACUGGGUGUAAAGGGAGCGCAGGCGGGAAGACAAGUUGGAAGUGAAAUCUAUGGGCUCAACCCAUAAACUGCUUUCAAAACUGUUUUUCUUGAGUAGUGCAGAGGUAGGCGGAAUUCCCGGUGUAGCGGUGGAAUGCGUAGAUAUCGGGAGGAACACCAGUGGCGAAGGCGGCCUACUGGGCACCAACUGACGCUGAGGCUCGAAAGUGUGGGUAGCAAACAGGAUUAGAUACCCUGGUAGUCCACACCGUAAACGAUGAUUACUAGGUGUUGGAGGAUUGACCCCUUCAGUGCCGCAGUUAACACAAUAAGUAAUCCACCUGGGGAGUACGACCGCAAGGUUGAAACUCAAAGGAAUUGACG
rnacentral:rRNA from 1 species